GUAAGAGUCAAAUAUGUGAAUAUUAAUUUUAAAAGCCUCAUGUACGUGCUUAUGAUUCAAGCAUGUACGUUCCAACGUUAAAUACAUAAGGAGCAGAGAAAAUGUAAUGCCUGCAAUGAUUCUACAAGCUGGGUUGUCUUUCAGCCUACCCCUAUGAAACGUUUUCACAGGCAAUUUAACCUGUUUGUUGUUUACGAAAAAGCCCGAAGAUACAUCUCACCAUCACAAGUCACUACCCCUUUUUCCAAUUUUGUCACUUUCAUGGAUUGUAUUAGUACCCUCCCCUUCUCUUUAGCUGCAGAUUGUCAAAACCCUAAUCCACUUAGGGUGAUGAGAUUGUUGAACAGACGGUCAGGAUCAUUUUCCAGCAAAAAUGUUUGGUGGGGUGUGCACGAUUACCACGCAACAGAAGAGUACAAGAUUAGGACACGGCAAUAAUGUAAAUUUAAGCGUGGAGAGAAAACGAAACAAAGCAUUAAAAAAAAAAAAGUUGCUUUGGUCUUGAAAGAAAUUUUUUUUACAGUGCUUCCGUGGAUUAAAAACAGUAGCAGUACUGUCACUUACCAGUCACCAGAAUGAUUACAUAUAGAAGACAGCUCAGUGAGACCUAGAGAUUGAAUAAAACAAGUAACCCCACUAGUCCACCACUUGAACUUGCCCACCUUUCACCAUUAUAUUGCAGAAAUCGUUGUCUACCCCUCCACGUGAAAAAUUUUGACAUGACAUUACACUAGGGUUUUGCUGGAUUAUCCUUUCAACACCAUCCCCAAACACCCCAGUAGAUAAUACAAAAAAGGGGAAAAUCUUAAAUCAAAGCUAAUAUCUAAUAUUAUUGAAAGUAAAAAAGAGAAGAGGGAAACAAGUCCUGAUUUCAUUUUAAUUAAUCAUGAAACAUAAGCACUAAUAGAAGAUGGGACUUUUCUUGGCUGCUGAUGUGAAUAUUGAAGGUGAAGAAGCAAGAGGAAGUACCUGUGAAGUGCUUGAAUGGUAUUGUGGAGGGUGGUGAUGUUGAUGCUUAAGCUCUCUUUCUUCGUUCUUAUCAACAAUGAUGGAAAUAAAAGAUCCAUCUUCUUCAUCUUUCUGAAACUUUGAUGAAGCAGCCUUUUUCACAUAAUCUUGAGCAAACUCAUCAUUCUUCUGGACCUUUUUAUCUGCUUCUUCUAUUAGUUUUCUUCUGUGUAGUUUCUCUUCUGCAUCCUGCAAGAACUUGAAUUUUGGAGGUGGAGAUGACCUCAUCUUGUUAAACUCUGCAUCUGCUGCUGAUUCAAAAUGAUGGUUGAAUCUACUUUGGUUGUAGCCAGUGUUCAUAGGAGUAAGAGGAGGUGUGAAAAAUGAUGGAGAAGCAAUAGGAGUUAGAUAUGGAGUCUCCAUAUUGAGAAGCAAGUCACUCAAGCUCCUACUUCUUGACCCUUUUGCACUCUUGUUAUCACCUCUAGACUUUCCAUCUUCUGACUCUAAAUCCUCCUUCGUUUCUUCAAUAAUUGUGAAUAGAAAUCUUGGUGGACCUGAGAGACUAUUUAACCUCAUGAGCUCUGUAUCCAUAGGAUCAUCACCGAAGGGUUUGAGCAGUAAAUCUUCACUUGUAUUAUGAAGCUGAGAAUCUUGCUCAUGAUGGACAAGGGUAUCUGUGAUUCUUACUGAAGAACAUAGUUCUUGAGAGUGCCUUAAAGAAGAUGGCCUUUUUAAACAGAACAUGUAAAAAAGCUCUCUUGCUGGGUUACCAUACUCAUCUCCAAUCUCUCUGUUGGUAAAUCUUCUCUUCCACCAUAGCAAGUAGUAAAGCUCAGCAACAAGAGCCAGUAGCAGGCAACCAAAAACGAUACUCAAACCAAGUCCUACACUACUCACAGAUUUCAUCUUUUGUCACCUAAUCACAUCAGUAGUGCUUAAAAUGCUAAAAACUAUAUAUCAAAGCUAGCAACAAACCAACAAAGUUACCAUAAAUAACUUGAAAAUCACUCUCAGGAACUGCAAGAAAAGCCAAGAAAAAGAGGGACAAGCUUACUGAUAGAUUCUGACUAGUAACAGUCUUGCUGCCAUUUGCCAAGCCCAAGAACAUAGAUCCUAAACUUCGACCGCAACUCAAAGAAACAUCAAAUUCACUGCUUCUUUUUAGCAAAUGGUUUGCAAACAUAAACAUUCCAACUUUAUCUGCCAAUAACAAAGCUCAGAAACAGAAACAUGUAUCCAUGCCCUUCAGCUAAUGCCUAUCCAAAAAGCUCUCCGAAAAUCACAUUCUCAAACCAUGAAGCAUGAUUAUAAAAAGGCUUUUCCUACCAUAAGCCCACAUGAUACUUAGCCACAUACUGUGGAUAAUUAGAUAGUUUUGGCCUAUUAACAAAUAUCAUUUUAGCUAAAACCCACAAAGCUAUCACAUAAAAGAACAUUAACAGCAAUAAAAAUCACUGAGUUUGCUAAACCCACACAAAAAAACAGGGAGCUUCUAGGCUCUAGCAAAUAAAACAUAUACCAAGGGAUUGAGGAGGCAAAAGGGUCGGCAAAUUUUCUCACCUUUAUGGUUUGACAGGUCACAUUCUUCAAGGGACAUUCACAUGGGAUCACAAAUAAAAGGAAAUUGAUGUGUCACUGUUCUGUAUUUCUCCUCACUUACACUAUUGCCCCUUGGAACCCAAAAGCUCGUGCUUUAGGAACGUCAGGCACUCGAUAAACUAG
rnacentral:misc_RNA from 1 species